rnacentral:rRNA from 1 species
CAGCCGUAAACUAUGCGCGUUAGGUGUACUGGUGACCACGAGUCACCGGGGUGCCGAAGGGAAACCGUGAAACGUGCCACCUGGGAAGUACGGCCGCAAGGCUGAAACUUAAAGGAAUUGGCGGGGGAGCACAACAACAGGUGGAGCCUGCGGUUUAAUUGGACUCAACGCCGGACAACUCACCGGGGACGACAGCAAUAUGUAGGCCAGGCUGAAGACCUUGCCUGAAUCGCUGAGAGGAGGUGCAUGGCGUAGACGUCU